CCGUGGUAGGCAAUCUGCCUAGGAGAGCAAACUCUAAACAAACCCGGGCAGGUGGAGCUCGUUAGCCGUGGUAGGCAGUUCACCUAGGAGAGCAAACUCUAAACAAACCCGGGCAGGUGGAGCUCGUUAGCCGUGGUAGGCAGUUCACCUAGGAGAGCAAACUCCGAACAACAAACCCGGGCAGGUGGAGCUCGUUAGCCGUGGUAGGCAGUUCACCUAGGAGAGCAAACUCCAAACAACAAACCCGGGCAGGUGGAGCUCGUUAGCCGUGGUAGGCAGUUCACCUAGGAGAGCAAACUCCGAACAACAAACCCGGGCAGGUGGAGCUCGUUAGCCGUGGUAGGCAGUUCACCUAGGAGAGCAAACUCCGAACAACAAACCCGGGCAGGUGGAGCUCGUUAGCCGUGGUAGGCAGUUCACCUAGGAGAGCAAACUCCGAACAACAAACCCGGGCUUGUGGUGCCCGUUAGAUGUCGUAGACAAUCCACGUGAUGGGAACACCAAAGAAAAGGAAAAGGAAAGAGAACACCAGAAAAAGGAAAAUAUAGAAACGAAACAUCGAGAAAAGAAAAAGCAAACACACAUCAUCCACCUUCAGGCCCUGACUAACAUCACCAAAAUUCUGGGUGGGUCUCUUCUGGGGAGAAAAAGGCUCAUCCAGACCAAAGAACAUCAACAAAAGGAUGAUAUAGAAAAGAACAUCUAGAAAAUAUGGAAAAGAAAAAAGAACAGAAAAAAACAUCGGAAAAGAAAA